UACCAGCGGCUCAAGUGGGAGCCACAUUUAUUGGGUCUAAAGCAUUCGUAGCCGGUUCUGUAAAUCCCUUGUGAAAUGGUACUGCUCAACGGUAUUACGUGCUAGGGACACUGCAGAACUAGAGACCGGGAGAAGUAGACGGAAUUGUUGGGGAAGCGGUAAAAUGUUAUAAUCCCGACAGGACCACCAACGGCGAAGGCAGUCUACUAGAACGGGUCUGACGGUGAGGGAUGAAAGCUAGGGGAGCAAACCGG
rnacentral:rRNA from 1 species